rnacentral:rRNA from 1 species
ACUCAAAGGAGACUGCCAGUGAUAAACUGGAGGAAGGUGGGGAUGACGUCAAGUCAUCAUGGCCCUUACGAGUAGGGCUACACACGUGCUACAAUGGCGUAUACAAAGAGAAGCGACCUCGCGAGAGCAAGCGGACCUCAUAAAGUACGUCGUAGUCCGGAUUGGAGUCUGCAACUCGACUCCAUGAAGUCGGAAUCGCUAGUAAUCGUAGAUCAGAAUGCUACGGUGAAUACGUUCCCGGGCCUUGUACACACCGCCCGUCACACCAUGGGAGUGGGUUGCAAAAGAAGUAGGUAGCUUAACCUUCGGGAGGGCGCUUACCACUUUGUGAUUCAUGACUGGGGUGAAGUCGUAACAAGGUAACCGUAGGGGAACCUGCGGUUGGAUCACCUCC